GUGGGGAAUCUUCCACAAUGGACGAAAGUCUGAUGGAGCAACGCCGCGUGAGUGAAGAAGGGUUUCGGCUCGUAAAGCUCUGUUGUCGGGGACGAAUGUGCAGUAUUUGAAUAAAGUACUGCAAUGACGGUACCUGACGAGGAAGCCACGGCUAACUACGUGCCAGCAGCCGCGGUAAUACGUAGGUGGCAAGCGUUGUCCGGAAUUAUUGGGCGUAAAGGGAGCGCAGGCGGGAAGGUAAGUCGGUCUUAAAAGUGCGGGGCUCAACCCCGUGAUGGGAUCGAAACUAUCUUUCUUGAGUGCAGGAGAGGAAAGUGGAAUUCCUAGUGUAGCGGUGAAAUGCGUAGAUAUUAGGAGGAACACCAGUGGCGAAGGCGACUUUCUGGACUGUAACUGACGCUGAGGCUCGAAAGCCAGGGGAGCGAACGGGAUUAGAAACCCUGGUAGUC
rnacentral:rRNA from 1 species